rnacentral:tmRNA from 1 species
GGGGAUGACUUGGUUUCGACUGGAGUAGUCGGGGCUAUGUGCAUGUCGGACUGGGCAAUUCCGUUACGCGGCCCAACGCGAAUAAACGCAAACAAUACAGAUUAUCGUCCAGCUUACGCAGUAGCGUAAGUAUUUAACCCCGCUAACGCGGAGGACUGCCUCGCUAGUGAGUGUCAUCUUAGCUAGAGUUUGAGGUAUCAUAUCUGAUGACUAUACCCGAAGGCUGCCUAACCUUUGGAUGAACCUUUAGGCUGGUCUUGCAUAGUUUUGGGUGUAGUACGAAGCAAGAUGAGACCAAACAACACCGCCUAAGCAUGUAGAGUCAUGGUUCUAUCUAUUUUAGGACAGGGGUUCGAUCCCCCUCAUCUCCACCA